AAAAUUACGAUGCUUCUGCCUUUUAUGAUGAGAGAUAAGAAGUCAUGUUAGUAGAAGAAUAAAUCAAAAUAUUCCCUUACCUGCAAAAAACUGAUGAGUGUACAAGCCACACUUAAGAAUUUGUGAUCAUGUUUAAGGAAAGAUGACAAUAUGAAGACCUUGAAUACUGCCUUAGUUUUGCAAAAGACCUUGCUAGGCCUUCCUGUUUAGGUCAAGAAAAGUCCCCAGAGAAGGUCUUAAGGAAGAAGAAAGAGGUUAAGAAAACUGGACAAAACCUGAGCCAAAAUUUUGACAUGGAUAUAUCCUCAUAGAACAAGACAAAAUGCUGUAAGCAGGGUGGAUGGCUCUGUGUGAUGAUCUUGGUUGCAUACUCCCCUUCACUAAGGUCAAACAAAACCCAAAAAUCUCUUAUAAACACCUCUCAUUUUCAUUGUCCAUGUGGAGAAGCUCAAAGCUUUCAUUUGGCCUAAGUGACAUCCUAACCACUUUACAGCCUAUUCAGGUCCACUUUAUAAUAUUGCACAUGUUGGAAAUGAAACUGGUGCUUAUGACUCCCAGAAGUAUAAAUUUUAAUGAAGAUUCUAAAAACUUUAUCUUGGCCCUGUGAUGGUGCAGAUUGAAAAAAAUUUCCAUUUCUGACAUGUCUAUAAUGAACUUCAUUGCUGCUUUUUAAAAAUUUUUCCUUUUGAUAAGAAAUUAAAGACUGAUUUCCUCUUUACAAAAGAAAAUGCCACUUUAUUCCCCAUAGACACCCUCUCUCUUAGUAAAACAACUCUGAUUUUUAUAGCUGGGCAUCUUGCCACCCAGUUAAAGAUAUAUUUCCCUUGCAGCUAAAUAAGGCCAAGUGACUAUGCUCUUGCCAAUAAUAUGUAAACUGAAGUGUAGCAAGGUACUUUUGGGAAGUCUCUUUAAAAAGCAUCAUUUCUUUUGUAUUUGUCCCUUCAUCUUCCUGCUACUCAAGAUUUUCAUAUAAUGGCAGGCACUUCUGUAGGCAUUUUGGAUCAUGAAAUGUCUUUGAUGGAAACUAAGAAAAGUAGAGAAACAGAAUUGAAGGUUUCACAAUUCUAAAACCUUUGUAAAAGUUUUGUAAAAGGUUUUACAAUUGAAGGUAAUUAAUAUUACACUAUUGAUUAUAGUAAAGGUCAUGCUUCUGUGGGGAAAAAAAGAGUCCCUUGACAUGAUGGUUCAAACAAGUUAGGAAAGGCAGACUGUGCUUCUCAAAAUCAGCCAGAGAAUCAGACUGGCUGAGCACACUGCCAUCCUCAAUGCAUGGCUUCUAGAUUGCUUUAGCCUUUAUCAUUUGAAGCCAAUAGGAAGCAAGGAGAACAUCAAAGCACAUAAUUAAUGACUGAAAGCAUCCAUCACUUCUGCUCAAAUCAUUUUGGGAAUGUCAUAGUCUUCUUGAUCGCACUUGAAUGCUGGGGAAGCUAAGCAGUGUAGUACAACUGGACAAUCAGUUCCUAUGUCCAAGAACUUUUUAAAGACAGUAGGGUAGAAUGCUUACUUGUAAUUAAAAAGCAGUCUCCACCAAAACCGUAGGUCUUCAUAUUCUAUCCAGAUGGUAAGAAGUUUACUUUUCUCUUGUUUAGCUUACUAUAUGCUGGGCCUUUAUUAUUUAUAGUUGAACAUCAUCUUCAUUGAUACACCCCUUUUAUGUUUUUUCAAUGAACCUCAUCUGUAAACCAUUAAUUGGGUUAUUAGAUAAGUGCUAAAUAAUCCCCAGCUGUAAAAUUCUAAGAAUAAUUAAAACUUCCUUUCUUAACAUUCUUAGUGAACAACUUACAGGUUAAAAAACAAACCCAAAGAGAUUAUUUCCUGCAAAGAGCCUUUAGUAUGGUAGCACCUACUUCUAGAAGGCCUUUCAUAAACUGUCGUCUAGUGAAAGUGAUGAAGAAGAGUGGCUGGGAGUCAAUCUUAUCAGGAGCUGGAACAGGUGAAGCCCUCACCAGUGAAAAAUCUUGACAGAUGCAGCUACUAAGACUUCCUACUACAAAGAAUAACAGCACUUAGAAAAGCAGACUCCCUAUGGUGGUGACCAGUAUCUUCAAACUGAUACCAGAGUAAAGCCUUAUCCAUUUGGAGUUCUUUCUGAUGCAUUAUGUGAGAAAAACAAGCAAACAAACGAACAUUUAUUUGUAUUGGAAUUGCACUAAAUUUAUACAUGAAACUGAAAAAAAUUGAUAUCUUUAUGAAGCUGCAUAAUCCUAUCCAAGGACAGAUAUCUCCUUCAAUUUG